UACGUAGGGGGCAAGCGUUGUCCGGAUUUAUUGGGCGUAAAGAACGUGUAGGCGGCCAGGUAGGUCAGCUGUGAAAACUCGAGGCUUAACCUCGAGACGCCGGCUGAAACCCUCUGGCUAGAGUCCGGAAGAGGAGAGCGGAAUUCCUGGUGUAGCGGUGAAAUGCGCAGAUAUCAGGAGGAACACCGGUGGCGAAGGCGGGUCUCUGGGCCGAUACUGACGCUGAGGAGCGAAAGCGUGGGGAGCGAACAGG
rnacentral:rRNA from 1 species